GAUGAACGUUGGCGGCGUGCCUAAUACAUGCAAGUCGAGCGAACGGACGAGAAGCUUGCUUCUCUGAUGUUAGCGGCGGACGGGUGAGUAACACGUGGAUAACCUACCUAUAAGACUGGGAUAACUUCGGGAAACCGUAGCUAAUACCGGAUAAUAUUUUGAACCGCAUGGUUCAAAAGUGAAAGACGGUCUUGCUGUCACUUAUAGAUGGAUCCGCGCUGCAUUAGCUAGUUGGUAAGGUAACGGCUUACCAAGGCAACGAUGCAUAGCCGACCUGAGAGGGUGAUCGGCCACACUGGAACUGAGACACGGUCCAGACUCCUACGGGAGGCAGCAGUAGGGAAUCUUCCGCAAUGGGCGAAAGCCUGACGGAGCAACGACGCGUGAGUGAUGAAGGUCUUCGGAUCGUAAAACUCUGUUAUUAGGGAAGAACAUAUGUGUAAGUAACUGUGCACAUCUUGACGGUACCUAAUCAGAAAGCCACGGCUAACUACGUG
rnacentral:rRNA from 1 species